rnacentral:rRNA from 1 species
AUUGAACGCUGGUGGCAGGCCUAACACAUGCAAGUCGAGCGAGCGGCGGACGGGUGAGUAAUGUCUGGGGACUGCCUGCUAGAGGGGGAUAACUACUGGAAACGGUCGCUAAUACCGCAUACUAUCCGAUUAUCCAUAUGGGAUUCACUAGGAGGUGGGGUAAUGGCUCACCUAGGCGACGAUCUCUAGCUGGUAGGAGAGGAUGAACAGCCACAGUGUGACUAAGACACGACCCAGAACCCUAUGGAGGCGGGAGUAGGGAAUAUUGCACAACGGGGGCAAGCCGGGUGCAGCCAUGCCGCGUGAUUGAAGAAGGCCGUAGGGUUGUAGAGGACUUUCAGGGGGGAGGCGUUACCCGCAGAAUAAGCACCGGCUAACUCCGUGCCAGCCGCCGCGGUAAUUC